UACGUAGGGGGCAAGCGUUGUCCGGAUUUACUGGGCGUAAAGCGCGUGUAGGCGGGAGAUUAAGUUGGGUGUGAAAGCCCGGGGCUCAACCCCGGGAUGCCGCCCAAGACUGGUCUCCUUGAGGACGGAAGAGGGGAGUGGAAUUCCUGGUGUAGCGGUGAAAUGCGUAGAGAUCAGGAGGAACACCCGUGGCGAAGGCGGCUCCCUGGUCCGUUUCUGACGCUGAGACGCGAAAGCGCGGGGAGCGAACGGG
rnacentral:rRNA from 1 species